AGUGAACGCUGGCGGUAGACCUAACACAUGCAAGUCGAACGGCAGCACAGUAAGAGCUUGCUCUUACGGGUGGCGAGUGGCGGACGGGUGAGGAAUACAUCGGAAUCUACUUUUUCGUGGGGGAUAACGUAGGGAAACUUACGCUAAUACCGCAUACGACCUACGGGUGAAAGCAGGGGAUCUUCGGACCUUGCGCGAUUGAAUGAGCCGAUGUCGGAUUAGCUAGUUGGCGGGGUAAAGGCCCACCAAGGCGACGAUCCGUAGCUGGUCUGAGAGGAUGGUCAGCCACACUGGACCUGAGACACGGUCCAGACUCCUACGGGAGGCAGCAGUGGGGAAUAUUGGACAAUGGGCGCAAGCCUGAUCCAGCCAUACCGCGUGGGUGAAGAAGGCCUUCGGGUUGUAAAGCCCUUUUGUUGGGAAAGAAAAGCAGCAGGUUAAUACCCCGCUGUUCUGACGGUACCCAAAGAAUAAGCACCGGCUAACUUCGUG
rnacentral:rRNA from 1 species